CAGAGCGGCGGAUGCCGGGAAGUUGGUCAAACUUGAUCAUUUAGAGGAAGUAAAAGUCGUAACAAGGUUUCCGUAGGUGAACCUGCGGAAGGAUCAUUACCGAUAAUUCAAUGGUUAUCAUUAACCCGUGUGAACCGUACACAACCUUAGGGGUCGGUCAUCGUGCCGUUAAAUGGGUCGUUCGUCCGUCGAUUCGGCGUUCGGCCAGCCCCGCCUUUUGUAACGCACUUCAAUGUUCAAGUCUGAAAGCUUGCCGCCCGUCCUGUCGGGCGGUAGUGUAAACGAAAAUGAGAGAGACAACUUUUAACGGUGGAUCUCUUGGCUCACGUAUCGAUGAAGAACGCAGCCAGCUGCGAUAAGUAGUGUGAAUUGCAGAAUUCAGUGAAUCAUUGAAUCUUUGAACGCAAAUGGCGCUCUUGGGUUCUCCCAGGAGCAUGUCUGUCUGAGUGUCGGAUAUUAUCUAACGCACUUGAGUGUGCGGAAUUGAGGCGUCACGGCGUCACACGACUCGCCGUGUCCCUCGAAGGAAAGCGUGCUGGACUCGCAUCGUGCGGUUUCAAACCCGCGCUCCGUGCGAAGGCUAAAACCGUUUUGUCCUUCGUCGGGGUGCAGGUCCGCCAGCGCGAGCCGGCCGAAAAAGGUGACACU
rnacentral:misc_RNA from 1 species